UGUGUGUGUGUGUGUGUGUCCUUGAACUCUGAGGAAGUUUUCUACAUGAGCGUGGAGAGACUGGAGCCGUGUUACGAUCAACUUCAACAUCAGUCAUCUGUCAUCGUAACUUUUAUCCCCUCCCUCUCUCUCCCCCUCUGUCUCUCU